rnacentral:rRNA from 1 species
UACGUAGGGACCGAGCGUUGUCCGGAUUCAUUGGGCGUAAAGAGCUUGUAGGCGGUUUGUCGCGUCUGCUGUGAAAAUCCGGGGCUCAACCCCGGACUUGCAGUGGGUACGGGCAGACUAGAGUGUGGUAGGGGAGACUGGAAUUCCUGGUGUAGCGGUGAAAUGCGCAGAUAUCAGGAGGAACACCGAUGGCGAAGGCAGGUCUCUGGGCCACUACUGACGCUGAGAAGCGAAAGCGUGGGGAGCAAACAGG